CCUACGGGAGGCAGCAGUAGGGAAUCUUGCGCAAUGGGCGAAAGCCUGACGCAGCGACGCCGCGUGCGGGAUGACGGCCCUAGUGGUUGUAAACCGCUUUCAGCAGGGACGAAAAUGACGGUACCUGCAGAAGAAGUCCCGGCUAACUACGUGCCAGCAGCCGCGGUAAUACGUAGGGGACAAGCGUUGUCCGGAUUCAUUGGGCGUAAAGAGCUCGUAGGCGGUUCAGUAAGUUGGGUGUGAAAGCUCCGGGCUCAACCCGGAGAGGCCACUCAAUACUGCUGUGACUAGAGUCCAGUAGAGGAGCGUGGAACUCCUGGUGUAGCGGUGAAAUGCGCAGAUAUCAGGAAGAACACCGGCAGCGAAGGCGGCGCUCUGGGCUGGUACUGACGCUGAGGAGCGAAAGCAUGGGUAGCAAACAGGAUUAGAUACCCUGGUAGUCCAUGCCGUAAACGUUGGGCACUAGGUGUGGGGAGGAAUCAACCCUCUCCGUGCCGUAGCUAACGCAUUAAGUGCCCCGCCUGGGGAGUACGGCCGCAAGGCUAAAACUCAAAGGAAUGACGGAAUCGUCGACCGAGGAUGCCUCU
rnacentral:rRNA from 1 species